AAUGAACGUUGGCGGCGUGGAUUAGGCAUGCAAGUCGAGCGAGAACCCAGCAAUGGGGGACAGCGGCGCAAGGGACAGUAAUGUGUAGAUUAUCUGCCCUCGGGUCCGGGAUAGCUGCGGGAAACUGCAGGUAAUACCGGAUAACAUCUCCGGAUCAAAGGUGUGACUCCGCCCGAGGAUGAGUCUGCAUCCUAUUAGCUAGUUGGCAGGGUAAUGGCCUACCAAGGCGAUGAUGGGUAGCGGGUGUGAGAGCACGACCCGCGUCAUUGGGACUGAGACACUGCCCGGACACCUACGGGUGGCUGCAGUCGAGAAGCUUCGGCAAUGGGCGCAAGCCUGACCGAGCGACGCCGCGUGUGGGAUGAAGGCCUUCGGGUUGUAAACCACUGUCAGAGGGGAUGAAAUGCAGGUGGGUUCUCCCAUCUGUUUGACAUAGCCUCAGAGGAAGGACGGGCUAAGUUCGUGCCAGCCGCCGCGGUAACAC
rnacentral:rRNA from 1 species